CCUACGAGAGGCAGCAGUGAGGAAUAUUGGUCAAUGGCCGAGAGGCUGAACCAGCCAAGUCGCGUGAGGGAAGACGGCCCUACGGGUUGUAAACCUCUUUUGUCGGAGAGCAAAGCGCGCCACGUGUGGCUCGUUGAGGGUACCCGAAGAAAAAGCAUCGGCUAACUCCGUGCACGCAACCGCGGUAAUACGGAGGAUGCGAGCGUUAUCCGGAUUUAUUGGGUUUAAGGGGUGCGCAGGCGGUGGUGCAAGUCAGCGGUCAAAUUGCGGGGCUCAACCCCGUACUGCCGUUGAAACUGCAUCCCUUGAGUGCGCGAGAAGUAUGCGGAAUGCGUGGUGUAGCGGUGAAAUGCAUAGAGAUCACGCAGACCUCCGAUUGCGAAGGCAGCAUACCGGCGCGCAACUGACGCUCAUGCACGAAAGCGUGGGUAUCGAACAGGAUUAGAUACCCGAGUAGUC
rnacentral:rRNA from 1 species